CGGGCGCCUCAGCUCAGGAUUUCCAAGCUCUUCCAAAUUACCGGGCUGCAGACAGCACUGGGCCCCAGCAUCUGUGAAGAGACGAAUUGGCGGUUGGCGUCUUUUUCCAACUGUCGGCUCAGUAUGUUCAGCCUCAGCGUUAGAGCGUGAUUUCUCCUCCCUGACAUCAUAUCCAGGAAUAGACACUAAUUACCACGCCAAGCCCAGUGCAGAACAGGAAAUGAGGUGGCAUGUGAUCUGGUUCUGACGUGUGAGCAUCUGUGCAGUGCCCAGCAGGCACGUGUCCCUGUCCGUAAUGUUUUCUCCCAGCGGAUCUUUCCAUGUAGGUGCCAAUGUGCUGGGCAGGCAACGCUUUAUGGAUGGGGCAGUUGGACGUGUCUUUUGGUUAAGGCCACCAUGAGGGGAAUUUUUUUAAAGGACUUUGGGACUCAAAGGACUUUGAAAACUGUUUGAUAUUAUUUAUUAUUUUGGUUUUUGUGAGACAGGGUUUCUCUGUAUAGUUUGGCAGGCCUGGAACUCACUCUGUAGGCCAAGAUCUGCCUGCCUUUGCCUCCCGAGCACUGAGAUUAGAGGUCUGGGGCUCCCCACAGAGUGGAGCGGGGUUGAAGCUAAAGUUCCGAAAGGGACAGCAUUCUCCACAGAGGAAAAAGCCAUGGAGAGAAAAAGAAGAGAAUGGACGAGCAAGACUCAUCAGCAGGGAAAGGUGCUCGUGGCCAAACCUGCUGAUCAGAGUUCGAUACCGGGAACCCCCUGUGGUAGACGGAGAGAACCAACUUCUGCAACUUGUCCUUUGACUUCUUCAUGUGCACUGUGGCUUGGGCAUGCACACACACAACAUAAAUAAAUAAGUAAACGCUU